GAUUCCUGGCUUUCACCCAGGCGUCCCGGGUUCGAUUCCCGGUGUAGGAA
rfam:Ciona savignyi cont_32162, whole genome shotgun sequence.